AUUAUGUUUUAUCAAAUCUAAAUUUAAUACAGCCUUCUACCAGGUGAUUUCAGAGCACUUGAUGCUUCCAUCUGCUAAAUAAACUUUGUGCAGAUGCUGAUUUCCUUUUCCAGCAGAACUUAAGCACCUGUCCACAAAGGCAAGACUACUUCCAAGUGUUUUACUGACCAUGAUAUUCCUUUGGACUGGUCAAUUAACUUGCCUGACCUGAAGCCCAUAUGAAGCCUAUGGGAUAUUUAGCCCUAACUACAGAAAUGAUAAAACUGAUGCCACCAUGACUGUUCUGGACAUUGGCUUACUGACUGGAUUUGAUGUUGAUGAAAAAGAUCUUAAAGAGUUGUCUUCAAGGA